GACGAACGCUGGCGGCGUGCCUAAUACAUGCAAGUAGGACGCGGUUGCGAACGGGUGAGUAACGCGUAGGUAACUACCUAUUAGAGGGGGAUAACUAUUUGAAACGUUAGCCAAUACCGCAUACUAGUAGAUGGACCUGCGUUGUAUGAGCUAGUAGGUCGGGUAAUGGCCUACCUAGGCAACGAUACAUAGCCGACCUGGGAGGGUGGUCGGCCAAACUGGGACUGGGACACGGCCCCGACUCCUACGGGAGGCAGCAGUAGGGAAUCUUUGGACAUGGGGUGAACCCUGAACGCGCAACGCCGCGUUAUGGAAGAAGGUUUUCGGAUCUUAAAGCUAUGUUGUUAAGGAAGCGGUACUUAAACAGAAAGGGACGGCUAACUCCGUGCCAGCAGCCGCGGUAAUAC
rnacentral:rRNA from 1 species